GACGAACGCUGGCGGCGUGCUUAACACAUGCAAGUCGAACGGAAAGGCCCUGCUUUUGUGGGGUGCUCGAGUGGCGAACGGGUGAGUAACACGUGAGUAACCUGCCCUUGACUUUGGGAUAACUUCAGGAAACUGGGGCUAAUACCGGAUAGGAGCUCCUGCUGCAUGGUGGGGGUUGGAAAGUUUCGGCGGUUGGGGAUGUACUCGCGGCUUAUCAGCUUGUUGGUGGGGUAGUGGCUUACCAAGGCUUUGACGGGUAGCCGGCCUGAGAGGGUGACCGGCCAAAUUGGGACUGAGAUACGGCGCAGACUCCUACGGGAGGCAGAAGUGGGGAAUAUUGCACAAUGGGCGGAAGCCUGAUGCAGCAACGCCGCGUGCGGGAUGACGGCCUUCGGGUUGUAAACCGCUUUCGCCUGUGACGAAGCGUGAGUGACGGUAAUGGGUAAAGAAGCACCGGCUAACUACGUG
rnacentral:rRNA from 1 species